UACGUAGGGGGCGAGCGUUGUCCGGAUUUAUUGGGCGUAAAGAGCGUGUAGGCGGCCAGGUAGGUCUGCUGUGAAAACUCGAGGCUCAACCUCGAGACGUCGGCGGAAACCAUCUGGCUAGAGUCCGGAAGAGGAGAGUGGAAUUCCUGGUGUAGCGGUGAAAUGCGCAGAUAUCAGGAAGAACACCGAUGGCGAAGGCAGCUCGCUGGGACGGUACUGACGCUGAGGCGCGAAAGCGUGGGGAGCAAACAGG
rnacentral:rRNA from 1 species